rnacentral:tRNA from 1 species
GGGUGUGUAGCUUAGUGGUAGAGCACUAAUAUGGUAUUGCCUAAUAUGUGCAAGGCCCUAGGUUCAAUCCCCAGCACUGCCA